rnacentral:lncRNA from 1 species
CAGGCCCCGCCCCCAGAGCGGGCCGCCCAUUCCCCGCCUCCACGCUCUCCAGUGUGGGGUCCGCCCUGCAGCCCCGCCCCCUAACCCCGGCCGGGUCGUUUCGGUCCCCAUUCCCCAUUCUUUCUCAGAAGACUCUUCAGUGGGUUCAGCACACGUCUCUCCUGUCCGCAACAGAGAAACAAGAUACCUGAGUGCCUCCCACGACCAUGUGACUUCUUACAGGGCAAGGACAGCCAUACCCAGCAAAGCUUCUAGUCCUCCUGCCACCACCUCAUCACUUUCUUGCCUAUCACAAGCCAUGUUCCCCUGUGCACUGAGGGUUCCAGCCUCAGCCAUGGACCCUUUCAUCUUUUUAAGGUGCCCAGCACCCACUCCACACACAUCUUCCCUUAGGACCAUUGACCAUUUUGCGCAUUACAAGACGUGUGCAGCACCCCUGCCUCUGCCCAUUGGCUGUGAUGAUGAACAUGUCUCUGGACGUUGCCGAAAUUCCCGAGGGGGUCAAAUGCACACCCUCCUCCCAGAACCACUGCUCUAGGUAUCUACAGACCCAUUUAUUUAUAUAAAUAUUUUCCACAGUCUCACCUAAAUUUGUGUGUACACAUUUGUGUACAGGGAAAGCUGGUGACAAGCGGCCUUAGACAAUACCAAUGUCAGGUAAACACUCAAUUCUGGGAAGCCCUGGAAAUUCUUUAAAGCCAAUAACCAAAACCUGCUCAAUAUUACAAAGCAUUUUCCAACCCCCAAAAGGUUUGUAAAUUCAUCCUUUUAUAACUCUUCAAGUUUCUAAGAUAUCUGCAAGUCUGAAUCUCUAACUCUUCAAUUCCCCUAAAUUAUGAAUGAAAAUUUCUGCCUCGGGGCAAAGAUGCAUGAAAUAAGAUUAAGACUGUGGUUGGCUUGGUGACUGCUUUCUGUUGACAAGUAAGCUUAGCUGUAACCUUGAAAUUCAUACCUGCUAUUCAAUUCUGUCUCCAGGCCAAGGAGGACUCAGAAGAAGGAAAACAAAGUGAAGCAAGGUACGGAAACAGUUACUAAACAUUUUCCAUCCCAGCACUCUAUCUUCUUUAGAUGUUUAGAGUGGUGAUGGUGGGGGUAUGUGUGUAAAACCCUAGAGAAGUAAACAAUGCUCUUAAAUCAUGAAUCUCUAUCUCCUGGAAAACAAACUCUAUAACCCAGAGACAGAGAAAUAAUUUCUUUCUAGCUUCAUCAAAAGGCACCGCACUAACUAAUCCCCAGGCUCAUCAAAGUGUGACUCUCUGGAUUAGGAAGAAACAAAGGAAUAAACACUGCAUUGACAGUAUUUCUAAAAAUGGU